GUUUGGAGUGACGCAUGUUGUGGCAAUAGAUGGCUUCAGCAGCCAAAUUGUGGCUCAUAACACCAUGCCUGUUAAAAACAACUUAACAAUCUAUCAGAAUGUUUACAGAGAAGCUGUGAUAAAAAACGGCAUGUGGGAUCAAAUCCGGGUUGACCAGGGAAAAGAGUUCUAUAUGUGCCUGUAUAUCCAAGAGCUGCUGUCCAGACACAGAUACAAUAUAAACAGACAACCAUAUGUACAGACAAAAUCAUCAAGGAACCUCAAAGUUGAGCGAAUAUGGCCAGAAAUAAAUAACAGAGUCAACUAUCCCCUGAAAGAAGCCCUGCUGCAACUUCAAGACCAAGAGGUGAUGAACAUGGAGAACAACACAACUAGAUUUU